GAUGAACGCUGGCGGCGUGCCUAAUACAUGCAAGUCGAGCGAACGGACGAGAAGCUUGCUUCUCUGAUGUUAGCGGCGGACGGGUGAGUAACACGUGGAUAACCUACCUAUUAUACUGGGAUGACUUCGGGGAACCGUAGCUAAUACCGGAUAAUAUUUUGAACCGCAGGGUUCAAAAGUGAAUGACGGUCUUGCUGUCACUUAUAGAUGGAUCCGCGCUGCAUUAGCUAGUUGGUAAGGUAACGGCCUACCAAGGCAACGAUGCAUAGCCGAUCUGAGAGGGUGAUCGGCCACACUGGAACUGAGACACGGUCCAGACUCCUACGGGAGGCAGCAGUAGGGAAUAUUCCGCAAUGGGCGAAAGCCUGACGGAGCAAUGCCGCGUGAGUGAUGAAGGUCUUCGGGUCGUAAAGCUCUGUUAUUGGGGAAGAAAAGCUGUGGAAUAAUCCGCGGCCAUUUUGACGGUACCUAAACAGAAAGCCCCGGCUAACUUCGUG
rnacentral:rRNA from 1 species